rnacentral:rRNA from 1 species
UACGAAGGGUGCAAGCGUUACUCGGAAUUACUGGGCGUAAAGCGUGCGUAGGUGGUGAGUUAAGUCUGUCGUGAAAGCCCCGGGCUCAACCUGGGAAUGGCGAUGGAUACUGGCUCGCUAGAGUGCGGUAGAGGAGAGUGGAAUUCCCGGUGUAGCAGUGAAAUGCGUAGAGAUCGGGAGGAACAUCAGUUGCGAAGGCGGCUCGCUGGACCAGCACUGACACUGAGGCACGAAAGCGUGGGGAGCAAACAGG